CUCAUAGAAAAAUCUGGUGCGCAUUUAUCCUUUCAGCUCGCUCGGCCGUCUCCCUCAUCCUCUUCCAUGGCUCGCCACGCGCCCUAGCGUCUGCGCCCGGCCUGAGCUCCUAGCGUUGCGGCUCUUUCCCGGCUUCUUCCUCCCAUGCAGCUCGCCCGUGGCCAUCGCUCCGCCAUGCCCAGCACCUUGCCCUCGGCGUCGGUCAUCCUUGUCGGGCGCAUGAUCCUGCUCGGCCAUGGAUGUUGUGUUGUCGGCCCGACUUUCUCCAUCUCCCUGCUCGUUCCCCUGGUGCGCAGGGCAUCCUCCCCUCUACCUCCUCCAGCGCUCGGAUCUAGCCACCGUUUUCUGGCCGUGGCGAGCAUGUACCCAUCAGCUCCGACCUCGCCUGUGGUCGAGUCACCUGCCUCCACUCAUCCGCGCCCUCGGCAAUGUUGGGCAGUCUCGGACGCCUGGGUCCUUGGCCAUGCGCCCUUCUAUUUCACGCUUUCCCCAUUCGGUGCCUCGGCUCGCCCUCGCGCGUCCAUCUUUGGGCGCAAUCUGCUCUAGCUCGUGGACGCCGUGUCCUGGCUCUGGUCGCUGGAUGCCGCACCUCGCCUGUGCUGGCCGUCAUCACGUAUAGGCCUGGACACCACCUCUACCUACACGAGCUCAAUCGGAUCCCCAUCGUCGCGAAUUCGCUGUCGAUUUAGCAGCUGCGCCAGUUGGUCGCCUCGGUGCGAAUUCGCCGUAGCAUCCAGGAUUUUGGCAGGUCUCCCCGCUCACCGUCAUCCCAAGCGUCGCAUCGGACUUACCAUGUAUGUAUGAUGUUCACCAAAUGCUCGACAAAAAGCUUGAACGAGUCGUACUGCCAUCGUCUUCGUCGCGCUGGCACGUCGAUGUCGUCAUUUGCCUUCGCACUGUUGUCGGUCGGCAACCUCGCUGUCGUCGCGUUCGCUCCGACUCUGCCUCUACGUGCUCGCCUUCGAUCACCGCUGCAAUUUUAGAAGUUUGAGUGAAGAAGUGGAACUCGCGGGGCGCUUGCCCGGAACUCGACAGGAGGCAUGAACAAGAAUCAGCAACGUUUGCUUGGAAUUCUAAUUGAAUCGGUACGAUAAUUAAUCACGUGAUGCGGAAGACGACCCAAGUCGACCCCAAGAUAAUGCAGAGAUUGGACAUCUCCGCAAGACUAUGUCGUCAGUCGGACCAACCUGAAGAUGGAUAAUCUGAACGAAUGCCAAGACAAAGGCUGGUCGCCAAGUGGACGUCAACUAAUAAACACUAAUCUAGUGUUAUUCCAGGCAAGCCCCGGUGCAUUUACCCCUUCCUUGUAUUUUUAAAAAGACUUUUAUACACUUAAGUCUAGUGAAAUGUGCAUUAAGUUUAUAGGAAUUGCUUGGAAACUA